UUGCCUAUAGUGAGUUCACUCUCUGACGGUGCUGCACCCUUUCUCCUAUCAGACCACUUUGAGGUCAAAUCCUGUUCGAUAUCUUUAUGUAACCUUGGUUUCCUGCGAGAAUACCUAUAGUGAUUAUGUGGCAAAGAGGUGUUAAAAUCUCUGGUGUUGCCAGAUUCCUCUUCCAAAAUAUCUUCAUGGUGAUUUCCCAUAUGUGGCAAAGAGGUGUUAAAAUCUCUGGUGUUGCCAGAUUCCUCUUCCAAAAUAUCAUCAUGGUGAUUUCCCAUAUUUGGAGAACUGUAAUCCAUCAAUAAUUGGUCAUCUUGGAUAUCAGGGGACAGAGGACUGGAUGGGGGGGUUGCUUCCCCUGU
rnacentral:lncRNA from 1 species